rnacentral:tRNA from 1 species
GCCGCUUUAGCUCAGUUGGUAGAGCACACGAUUCGUAAUCGUGUUGUCGCGUGUUCGAUUCACGCAAGCGGCACCA